ACGUUGGAGGACUCAGAAAGCAUGACCAAUGAGCCCGUCGCUCUUACGCACGUGACAAGAAAGCUGGCUCCUGAAUGGUCAAUAUUGUAGAAGCCCGCCCAACAACUUCCGGAAGCUUUCUUUAAGUUAAGGCCACACGCCCGUUUCGGCCUCUUAGUGACCGGGAGAGCUCUAAGGUUUGCCCUGCGCAGAACAGUAGACAACGUGGAGUUUUCCCUUUCCCUAAGCUUCUGAAUAAAGUGUUUCAACAAUA